rnacentral:misc_RNA from 1 species
AAGUCGUAACAAGGUUUCCGUAGGUGAACCUGCGGAAGGAUCAUUAACACGUAUCCAACGUUAAACCCCCCCGUGAACGUACAAUCUGUUGCUUCUCCGGUAACGCGAAACAAUGGUUGCAAUCCCUGGUAAAUCAUCGCCGAACAGUUUUGAUUCAGAGACCUCUGGGAAGGGUGUACGGUAGUGCGAGGCAAUUGACCUGGCAUUCCUCUGCUUGUUAGUGUCUGAAAGUGUCACUAGCUAUGUACGGAUGGCGCAGUAACGAUCGCUGGAGGCCGACACGGCCGGCGACCAGGUCACUGGGCUACGGCCCCCCUGAUCACAACCUUUGCAUGAAAACGGGCCUGCGCUGAGGUGCGGCCACCCCUAAUGCUUGAACAACUGUUAACAAUGGAUAUCUUGGUUCUC